rnacentral:rRNA from 1 species
CUGGGGAGUACGGCCGCAAGGUUAAAACUCAAAUGAAUUGACGGGGGCCCGCACAAGCGGUGGAGCAUGUGGUUUAAUUCGAUGCAACGCGAAGAACCUUACCUGGUCUUGACAUCCACAGAACUUUGCAGAGAUGGAUUGGUGCCUUCGGGAACUGUGAGACAGGUGCUGCAUGGCUGUCGUCAGCUCGUGUUGUGAAAUGUUGGGUUAAGUCCCGCAACGAGCGCAACCCUUAUCCUUUGUUGCCAGCGGUUAGGCCGGGAACUCAAAGGAGACUGCCAGUGAUAAACUGGAGGAAGGUGGGGAUGACGUCAAGUCAUCAUGGCCCUUACGACCAGGGCUACACACGUGCUACAAUGGCAUAUACAAAGAGAAGCGACCUCGCGAGAGCAAGCGGACCUCAUAAAGUAUGUCGUAGUCCGGAUUGGAGUCUGCAACUCGACUCCAUGAAGUCGGAAUCGCUAGUAAUCGUAGAUCAGAAUGCUACGGUGAAUACGUUCCCGGGCCUUGUACACACCGCCCGUCACACCAUGGGAGUGGGUUGCAAAAGAAGU